AUUGAACGCUGGCGGCAGGCCUAACACAUGCAAGUCGAACGGUAACAGGAAGAAGCUUGCUUCUUUGCUGACGAGUGGCGGACGGGUGAGUAAUGUCUGGGAAACUGCCUGAUGGAGGGGGAUAACUACUGGAAACGGUAGCUAAUACCGCAUAACGUCGCAAGACCAAAGAGGGGGACCUUCGGGCCUCUUGCCAUCGGAUGUGCCCAGAUGGGAUUAGCUAGUAGGUGGGGUAACGGCUCACCUAGGCGACGACCCCUAGCUGGUCUGAGAGGAUGACCAGCCACACUGGAACUGAGACACGGUCCAGACUCCUACGGGAGGCAGCAGUGGGGAAUAUUGCACAAUGGGCGCAAGCCUGAUGCAGCCAUGCCGCGUGUAUGAAGAAGGCCUUCGGGUUGUAAAGUACUUUCAGCGGGGAGGAAGGGAGUAAAGUUAAUACCUUUGCUCAUGGACGUUACCCGCAGAAGAAGCACCGGCUAACUCCGU
rnacentral:rRNA from 1 species